rnacentral:rRNA from 1 species
CCUAAGGUAGCGAAAUUCCUUGUCGGGUAAGUUCCGACCUGCACGAAUGGCGUAAUGAUGGCCAGGCUGUCUCCACCCGAGACUCAGUGAAAUUGAACUCGCUGUGAAGAUGCAGUGUACCCGCGGCAAGACGGAAAGACCCCGUGAACCUUUACUAUAGCUUGACACUGAACACUGGUCCUUGAUGUGUAGGAUAGGUGGGAGGCUUUGAAGUGUGGACGCCAGUCUGCAUGGAGCCAUCCUUGAAAUACCACCCUUUAAUGGCUGGUGUUCUAACGUGGGCCCGUGAUCCGGGUUGCGGACAGUGUCUGGUGGGUAGUUUGACUGGGGCGGUCUCCUCCUAAAGAGUAACGGAGGAGCACGAAGGUCAGCUAAUCCUGGUCGGACAUCAGGAGGUUAGUGCAAUGGCAUAAGCUGGCUUGACUGCGAGCGUGACGGCGCGAGCAGGUGCGAAAGCAGGUCAUAGUGAUCCGGUGGUUCUGAAUGGAAGGGCCAUCGCUCAACGGAUAAAAGGUACUCCGGGGAUAACAGGCUGAUACCGCCCAAGAGUUCAUAUCGACGGCGGUGUUUGGCACCUCGAUGUCGGCUCAUCACAUCCUGGGGCUGAAGUAGGUCCCAAGGGUAUGGCUGUUCGCCAUUUAAAGUGGUACGCGAGCUGGGUUUAGAACGUCGUGAGACAGUUCGGUCCCUAUCUGCCGUGGGCGCUGGAGAAUUGAGGGGGGCUGCUCCUAGUACGAGAGGACCGGAGUGGACGCAUCACUGGUGUUCGGGUUGUCAUGCCAAUGGCAUUGCCCGGUAGCUAAAUGCGGAAGAGAUAAGUGCUGAAAGCAUCUAAGCACGAAACUUGCCCCGAGAUGAGUUCUCCCUGACUCCUUGAGAGUCCUGAAGGAACGUUGAAGACGACGACGUUGAUAGGCCGGGUGUGUAAGCGCAGCGAUGCGUUGAGCUAACCGGUACUAAUGAACCGUGAGGCUUAACCUU